rnacentral:rRNA from 1 species
GACGAACGCUGGCGGCGUGCUUAACACAUGCAAGUCGAACGGUGAAGCGCCUUCCUUUUUGGUGGGUGUGGAUGAGUGGCGAACGGGUGAGUAACACGUGAGUAACCUGCCCCCUUCUUCUGGAUAACCGCAUGAAAGUGUGGCUAAUACGGGAUAUUCUGGGUCUGUCGCAUGAUGGGUCUGGGAAAGAUAUUGUUUCGGUGGGGGAUGGGCUCGCGGCCUAUCAGCUUGUUGGUGGGGUGAUGGCCUACCAAGGCGGGGACGGGUAGCCGGCCUGGGAGGGUCGGCGGUCACACAGGGACUGAGACACGGCGCAGACUCCUACGGGAGGCAGCAGUGAGGAAUAUUGCACAAUGGGCGCAAGCCUGAUGCGGCGACGCCGCGUGAGGGAUGGAGGCCUUCGGGUUGUGAACCUCUUUCGCCAGUGAAGCAGGCCUGCCUCGUUUGUGGGUGGGUUGACGGUAGCUGGAGAAGAAGCGCCGGCUAACUACGUG